AAUAGCUGGCGUAGCCAUUGUUGCAGGAUUGUUCUUUGAAAGCAACCAGCAGACAGCCAGAGGGUCUGACUUAGUUUUACUCCCUAAACCAGGAUGCUGGACAGACUGGUUUGACAGAGAUGACCCCUCUGGAACUGGAGACUGGGGAAGCCUCUCUGAUCUUCGCAAUGAGUACCCAGGAAAGAUCUGCUCUAAACCAGUAGAUAUUGGGCGAGAACUCUAUCUGGACUCACUGUGGCUGCAGCAGGUGAUGUGAUUUAUGUAGUGACACCACUACAGGAUUUGUCUGCAGGAACCAGGAUCACCCAGGACUAAGAUGUGUAAUGAUUAUAGUGUUCGUUUCAGCUGCCCUUCUUUCUGUAAAGUGUGCUGGACCCAGUGGUAUAACCGGGGCGCUCCCAGUGGAACAGGGGACUGGGAGACUUUGACUAACCUGAGGGACAGAAAACCAGGACAAAUCUGUGACAGCCCACUGUCCAUUGAGGCUGUUACCACUGACACAUUGACCCCAGCCCUCUCCACAGGGGCAGACCUUCUUUAUUUACAAUCAAAAUGA